rnacentral:misc_RNA from 1 species
AUAGAGACUGCAGACUGGA